CAGUCGCCACGGGAAUACGGAGGGUGCAAGCGUUAAUCGGAAUUACUGGGCGUAAAGCGCACGCAGGCGGUCUGUCAAGUCAGAUGUGAAAUCCCCGGGCUUAACCUGGGAACUGCAUUUGAAACUGGCAGGCUAGAGUCUUGUAGAGGGGGGUAGAAUUCCAGGUGUAGCGGUGAAAUGCGUAGAGAUCUGGAGGAAUACCGGUGGCGAAGGCGGCCCCCUGGACAAAGACUGACGCUCAGGUGCGAAAGCGUGGGGAGCAAACAGGAUUAGAUACCCGAGUAGUCCCUGUCUCUUAUAA
rnacentral:rRNA from 1 species